CACGUGUUACCAUAGUGGACACUCGUUGACAAGUAGCACAGAAUACAGCAGGCAUCAUGAUUCAUAAGCUGAACGUUCUCCUUCUACUCGUUUCUCUAAUUCUCUUGUCGGUAGAUCCGAUAAUAGCGGAGCCACCACCGGCGUGUCGUUCUUUGCCACGAAGUAAUCUCUGUCGAAGCCAGAAGUAUAUAAUAAUGUGCAGACUCACAUGCACGAGAGAGGAAAUGGGGUUGUAAGCGUCAUCGCAACGUUUAUUCCAAUUCUAUUGUAUCGUCAACGAAAGUGUAAUAAUCGCAUUGAAAAUAAAGGAAUAAAUAAAUCCGUAAAUCUGUCGUAAAA